rnacentral:rRNA from 1 species
AUGUAUGGCACUAUUGUAUAUCCACCUUUGUACACGAAAGUCAUGGGGAGGCCCAAGAAAAAUAGGAAGAAAGAUCCAGAAGAGAAAAAGGACAAGCAUGGAGGGUUGAAGCUUACGAAACAUGGAUCCACAAUGCACUGUUCCAUAUGUGGAGCACCAGAUCAUAACAAAAAGGGCCAUUACAAACACGAGAAUGUCACUCCAAAUGAAGAAAUAGCUCAAGCAGAAGAAGAUUAUGAUGAUCCGUCCAUCAUCGAUUAUAUAAUGCCGCAUACUGUGCAUGCUGAUUCGGAUCCAACUCAAACUCCUGGCUCUACGAUUUUCAUGAUGCAAGAACAUGAGAGGUUCACAUAUCCACCUGUCAGGGACUUUGGUCCACUGCCAGAAUCCACUUUCAUUGCUAAUGCAAGAGCUGAGAUUCCAUCUGCCAGAGUGACAACAGCUAACAGCUAUGUCAAGGGGAAGGCAACAAUCAACAAGAAGAGGAAUAGGAGGGGCUGGGAGAGGAACAAGAGGAGGGGCUGGUGCUGGCAGAGGAACAAGAGGAGGGUCUGGUGCUGGCAGAGGAACAAUAAGAGGGGCAGGGAGGGGAACAAGAGGAAGUGCCGCAAGAGGGGCAAAUGCAACUGCUACAAGAGGACCAAAUGCAAAUUCUAG